GACGAACGCUGGCGGCGUGCUUAACACAUGCAAGUCGAACGGAAAGGCCCUGCUUUUGUGGGGUGCUCGAGUGGCGAACGGGUGAGUAACACGUGAGUAACCUGCCCUUGACUUUGGGAUAACUUCAGGAAACUGGGGCUAAUACCGGAUAGGAGCUCCUGCUGCAUGGGGGGGGUUGGAAAGUUUCGGCGGUUGGGGAUGGACUCGCGGCUUAUCAGCUUGUUGGUGGGGUAGUGGCUUCCCACGGCUUUGACGGGUAGCCGGCCUGAGAGGGUGCCCGGCCACCUUGGGACUGAGGUACGGCCCAGACUCCUACGGGCGGCAGCGGUGGGGAAUAUUGCACAAUGGGCGGAAGCCUGAUGCAGCAACGCCGCGUGCGGGAUGACGGCCUUCGGGUUGUAAACCGCUUUCGCCUGUGACGAAGCGUGAGUGACGGUACUGGGUAAAGAAGCACCGGCUAACUACGUG
rnacentral:rRNA from 1 species